UGCAAGUCGAACGAUGAACCACUUCGGUGGGGAUUAGUGGCGAACGGGUGAGUAACACGUGGGCAAUCUGCCCUUCACUCUGGGACAAGCCCUGGAAACGGGGUCUAAUACCGGAUAACACUUCCACUCUCCUGAGUGGAGGUUAAAAGCUCCGGCGGUGAAGGAUGAGCCCGCGGCCUAUCAGCUUGUUGGUGAGGUAAUGGCUCACCAAGGCGACGACGGGUAGCCGGCCUGAGAGGGCGACCGGCCACACUGGGACUGAGACACGGCCCAGACUCCUACGGGAGGCAGCAGUGGGGAAUAUUGCACAAUGGGCGAAAGCCUGAUGCAGCGACGCCGCGUGAGGGAUGACGGCCUUCGGGUUGUAAACCUCUUUCAGCAGGGAAGAAGCGAAAGUGACGGUACCUGCAGAAGAAGCGCCGGCUAACUACGUGCCAGCAGCCGCGGUAAUACGUAGGGCGCGAGCGUUGUCCGGAAUUAUUGGGCGUAAAGAGCUCGUAGGCGGCUUGUCACGUCGGUUGUGAAAGCCCGGGGCUUAACCCCGGGUCUGCAGUCGAUACGGGCAGGCUAGAGUUCGGUAGGGGAGAUCGGAAUUCCUGGUGUAGCGGUGAAAUGCGCAGAUAUCAGGAGGAACACCGGUGGCGAAGGCGGAUCUCUGGGCCGAUACUGACGCUGAGGAGCGAAAGCGUGGGGAGCGAACAGGAUUAGAUACCCUGGUAGUCCACGCCGUAAACGGUGGGAACUAGGUGUUGGCGACAUUCCACGUCGUCGGUGCCGCAGCUAACGCAUUAAGUUCCCCGCCUGGGGAGUACGGCCGCAAGGCUAAAACUCAAAGGAAUUGACGGGGGCCCG
rnacentral:rRNA from 1 species